AAGCUCAACCUGAGACACCAGCAAGAGCCUUUGGAAACUUGGAGUUUCAUGCUACGUCAGCAUCUGAUCAUGCAGAUGCUUUCCCUCUAGUAAAACAGCCUGGUUCUGAUGCUUUCAGCCUGUCAUCUGCUCCCCUUUUCCAGGUGAUAGCUGGCUGAGAAUGGUACAUUCACACUACAUGGUCUGAUCAAAGGGAAAUGCACACAGUGGCAAGAAAAGCCUCAACUACCACCACACCCUGUCCUCUGCCAAGGGAGGAGUCGGCCCCACAGCUGGGAAACGCAGCAGAAGAGCCAACCCAGCUGCCCCAAUCCUCACACAAGACAUUGGAGCAGGCAAUACCAACAGUUUUGUCUCAAAUUUAUAAUGAAGACCUCAGCCAUACGGACAAGAGACACACAGGGCUGCCAGGACAAUUCAACUUAUGAAGUGCUGUCAACCCUGCUGCACCUGCCACAGUGACUAUUUUAAGAGUGGUUAUUCAGCCUGUUCUCAGCUGGUGUCUGCAAAUCAGUCACUGGCAAAUGGAAACUCAGGUCCUAUACCAAUAAAAACUGAACUGCUGCCCAGAAAAUCUACAUCUGGGAAUUGUCAGCAAAGCUGAUUUUUCAUUAUUUCCCUCUGUUUAUACAACACUGCUGCCUUUAGAUAUGUGUUCUUAAGCAGGCCAAAACUGAGCAAAGACUGCGAGCAUUUGCUGUGAUUUGGUUUGUUUGUUUUGUUAGUAAAUUCUAAAUUAUGCCACAUGAGAUGGCAUCUCAGUCAGAAUGUGCAGAUACAGCACCAAA